UACGAAGGGGGCUAGCGUUGCUCGGAAUUACUGGGCGUAAAGCGCACGUAGGCGGCUUUUUAAGUCAGGGGUGAAAUCCUGGAGCUCAACUCCAGAACUGCCUUUGAUACUGAGAAGCUUGAGUCCGGGAGAGGUGAGUGGAACUGCGAGUGUAGAGGUGAAAUUCGUAGAUAUUCGCAAGAACACCAGUGGCGAAGGCGGCUCACUGGCCCGGUACUGACGCUGAGGUGCGAAAGCGUGGGGAGCAAACAGG
rnacentral:rRNA from 1 species